ACGAAGGGAGCUAGCGUUGUUCGGAAUUACUGGGCGUAAAGGGCGCGUAGGCGGUUUGACGAGUCAGAUGUGAAAGCCCAAGGCUUAACCUUGGAAUUGCGUUUGAUACUGUCUUUCUUGAAUUCGGGAGAGGUGAGUGGAAUUCCCAGUGUAGAGGUGAAAUUCGUAGAGAUUGGGAAGAACACCGGUGGCGAAGGCGGCUCACUGGACCGAUAUUGACGCUGAGGCGCGAAAGUGUGGGGAGCAAACAG
rnacentral:rRNA from 1 species